GUGUGUUUCCUUGUAGCAACAAUCAGUUCACAUUUGCCUACAAAGUUGAAUACAUCGAAAUGAACUUCAAAGUUUUGAUCAGUUUGGCAGUGUUUUUGUCAGGAGUCUUGGGUGUAGUAAACGGAGAUUAUGCCGCACCUUUUCAAGCUUCUACCCCUUCUACUACAACUACAACUAGAAAAAGUUCUCUUGUGGACGUUCCAAUAAGGCCGUAGAAUGGUUGUUUUGGCAUCUGGAGCAAAAAAUACGAGAGGCGACUUUUUCCAUGGUAAAUCUAUCGCAUUCACAGAUAAAGUGCACUUAAAUUUAAA